rnacentral:rRNA from 1 species
CAGUAGCCGCGGUAAUACGUAGGGUGCAAGCGUUAAUCGGAAUUACUGGGCGUAAAGCGUGCGCAGGCGGUUUGUUAAGACAGAUGUGAAAUCCCCGGGCUCAACCUGGGAACUGCAUUUGUGACUGGCAAGCUAGAGUAUGGCAGAGGGGGGUGGAAUUCCGCGUGUAGCAGUGAAAUGCGUAGAUAUGCGGAGGAACACCGAUGGCGAAGGCAGCCCCCUGGGCCAAUACUGACGCUCAUGCACGAAAGCGUGGGGAGCAAACAGGAUUAGAUACCCGCGUAGUCCCUGUCUCUUAUAC